CGUUACAUAGUUACUCUGUACGCGGUGCUCGUGUUUCCAUACGGGUACGAAGCACCACUUAUUAGCUUGGCCUUUGGCUUUAAGACGUAAGUUACUACAUCCAUCUAUCUUGUAACUAGCUAAUUUAUCGACUAUGCUAUGCUUAUGAAGCGCAAUUGCCUACUUGAUUUUACUCCAGCUUGCACUUCUGAAGAACCUCAAACAGCUGCAUCGUCAUCUCAAUGAGUAACCUUUGGAAGCAAACGACCACACGAACUCAUUAAACUAAUGUAUCUGAUCGACAAGCCACUGAUGUUUCUAAUUUCCUGUACCUAUCUUAGUGCAGAAUCGAGACAACAGCGCGCAAAUUAAUUACAGGGCAAAGUAGUUUUUUGGCCAGCCCUAGGGCCCCUUUGAUCCCCAGGAUGCGCGUUUGACGAUCUGCAUGUAAUUUUGAUACCUAGCUUUCGUAUUAUAAACGACGACCGUAUCCGCCAAGAACAUGCUGAUUGGCCCAACAAGCGGUCACAGCCGCAAUGCAAUGGGUCAAAAUAAGACCGUGGCUGAAGUGUGGGACAUAUCGGCUCUGUAGUCUAACCAGGUCGUGAAUUGAGCUGCCUGGUGUGGCGGAGGUAUCUCUCAGUGUGUGUGUCCCGGUGAUAGAAAUAGAAUUGCAAAGAGCAAAUCAGAUACGUAUUUAUUAUUCUGCCUGGAAAAAACUCUCGUUGUCUGCUGAGGGUGUGGUUCUAUACGAUGCAUACAUUGGUCGUGAUAGCCAGCAAUGCAGGAAUCCGUACCAUCGGAUGCAUGCUAUGUACGGGUGCCUGUAGGCAUGCAGAUGCCAUCUGAUUGGUCCAUUGUGGCAUAUAUACACGAAGAUUCGUCAACAUAUCGUAGUACAGCCAAGUUCCAACCCUGCGCACCCUUGCUUUCUCUUCCGGGUAGGUGAGUUGGCAGCCCAGCUGACAAUAGCUUCCAUACUAUACGCCUGAGAAUAGAUUGAUCAUCUUAACAACAACGCAAUCUUCGAUAGUCACGCUGCUGCAUACGACGUACGCAUUGUAGCCUUGACCGCUACCGUCCCGGUGCCAUAAAAGAGCAAAAACUUGAACCAUGGUUCCGAAUGCUCCCGGGACAAGGAUAGAUCUGACUCGCAGCCCACAAAGAACAGAGUCCAGGGACAUCCAUGGCACAACCGUGUUUCUGAAGUUUAUUUCCGUGUUCUGAUUGGAUGUUUUCCAUCGGCAAUUGAAUGUCGGUCUAUUUUAAGUGCUUCGGUUAUGGGAUUCAUCACUUGACCAGCAUGUAGCGAGCUUGCUUAAAAAAGAAAUUGCGCUCAGCCCACGGCCGUACAACUUCCUCUUACGUUUCGUCGGUGGUACUGUUCUAUCGUGGUUGGCUUCGCUGAAAAUACUCCGAGCAAGCAUCCUCUGAACAUGGCCAAUUAACUGACCAAAUCCCCCUAAAUUAGUAGUUAACUAUUCUAUAAUCAUACGUAAACCCUUUGCGAGUUUAUUGAGACUACGGAAAAUGGCAAGCUU
rnacentral:lncRNA from 1 species